UUUUGCGCUCCUUUCCAAAGACCUCGUACUAAUCAGAGUUGGACAUCCUAUUAUAUACUAGAUAUUAUUUGUCUGAACUUCCAAUAUGGGAUUUUGUUUGCAUUCACAACAAAUCUCUCUCAAACCAAGUACCACACAAACUUUUGGUUUCCAACCUCCAGCGAAACCUGGCACACAUCUUGUACCGUGAUAGCAUGACUCUUCACCUAACCCUUGUUACACCAUUAAGAUUUCACCUAACCUUUGCAGCAUCAUUAUGCCAUUCACCGCCUAAUCCUUGCAGCACCAUUAGGAAUAUCCACAUAAUCUUUGUAUCAUCGUUAGGGAGAAGCUUUGAUACAAGUUUCUGGCACCCCUUAAUCGUGAAUUCACCUUGAGUAAUAUCCUCCCACAAUCGAAGCUUUCAGGAUCUUUGACUGAUCUCGGCUACAUACCUUCCCUUCCUACUGAAGGCACUCCUCGAAUCGUCGGGUAUAUUGUUGGUUUUCUAACAGAUUUUUGUCAACUGGCUCUGAUACCAAUUGGUUGGACAUCCUAUUAUAUAGUAGAUAUAUUUUUUUGAACUUCCAAUAUGGGAUUUUGUUUGUAUUCACAACAAAUCUCUCUCAAACCAAGUACCACACAAACUUUAGGUUUCCAACCUCCAGCGAAACCUAGCACACAUCUUGUACCGCGAUAAUCACCAACAUGACUCUUCACCUUUGUUACACCAUUAAGAGUUCACCUAAACAUUGCAACAUCAUUAUGACAUUCACCGCCUAAUCCUUGCAACACCAUUAAGAAUAUCCACCUAAUCUUUCUAUCACCGUUAGGGAGAAACUUUGAUACAAGUUUUCGGCACCCUUAAAGGUGAAGUCACUUUGAGGAAUAUCCUCCCACAAUCGAAGCUUUCAGGAUCUUUGACUGAUCUCGGCUACAUACCUCCCCUUCCUACUGAAGGCACUCCUCGAAUCGUCAGGUAUACUUUUGGUUUUCUAGCUGAUUUUUUGUCAACUGGCUCUGAUACCAACUGGUUGGGCAUCUUAUUAUAUACUAGAUAUUAUUUUUUGAACUUCCAAUAUGGAAUUUUUUUUGCACUCACAACAAACCUCUCUCAAACCAAGUACCACACAAACUUUAGGUUUCCAACCUCCAGCGAAACCUGGCACACAUCUUGUACCGCGAUAGUCACCAACAUGACUCUUCACCUUUGUUACACCAU
rnacentral:lncRNA from 1 species